AGUCUGAACCAGCCAUGCCGCGUGCAGGAUGACGGCCCUAUGGGUUGUAAACUGCUUUUAUAUGGGAAUAAACCCUCGGACGUGUCCGAGGCUGAAGGUACCAUAAGAAUAAGGACCGGCUAACUCCGUGCCAGCAGCCGCGGUAAUACGGAGGGUCCAAGCGUUAUCCGGAUUUAUUGGGUUUAAAGGGUCCGUAGGCGGGAUAUUAAGUCAGUGGUGAAAGCCUGCAGCUUAACUGUAGCACUGCCAUUGAUACUGGUAUUCUUGAGUAUAGUUGAAGUGGGCGGAAUAUGUCAUGUAGCGGUGAAAUGCAUAGAUAUGACAUAGAACACCUAUUGCGAAGGCAGCUCACUAAGCUAUCACUGACGCUAAGGGACGAAAGCGUGGGUAGCAAACAGGAUUAGAUACCCUGGUAGUCCACGCCGUAAACGAUGAUCACUCGCUGUUGGCGAUAUACAGUCAGCGGCCAAGCGAAAGCAUUAAGUGAUCCACCUG
rnacentral:rRNA from 1 species